rnacentral:rRNA from 1 species
UACAGAGGUCUCAAGCGUUGUUCGGAUUCAUUGGGCGUAAAGGGUGCGUAGGCGGCGCGGUAAGUCGGGUGUGAAAUCUUGGAGCUUAACUCGGAAACUGCCAUUGAUACUAUAGGUCUUGAAUUAUCUGGAGGUAAGCGGAAUAUGUCAUGUAGCGGUGAAAUGCUUAGAUAUGACAUAGAACACCAAUUGCGAAGGCAGCUUACUACGGAUAUAUUGACACUGAGGCACGAAAGCGUGGGGAUCAAACAGG